GAUGAACGCUGGCGGCGUGCCUAAUACAUGCAAGUCGAGCGAACGGACGAGAAGCUUGCUCCUCUGACGUUAGCGGCGGACGGGUGAGUAACACGUGGAUAACCUACCUAUAAGACUGGGAUAACUUCGGGAAACCGUAGCUAAUACCGGAUAAUAUUUUGAACCGCAUGGUUCAAAAGUGAAAGACGGUUUUGCUGUCACUUAUAGAUGGAUCCGCGCUGCAUUAGCUAGUUGGUAAGGUAACGGCUUACCAAGGCAACGAUGCAUAGCCGACCUGAGAGGGUGAUCGGCCACACUGGAACUGAGACACGGUCCAGACUCCUACGGGAGGCAGCAGUAGGGAAUCUUCCGCAAUGGGCGAAAGCCUGACGGAGCAACGCCGCGUGAGUGAUGAAGGUCUUCGGAUCGUAAAACUCUGUUAUUAGGGAAGAACAAAUGUGUAAGUAACUAUGCACAUCUUGACGGUACCUAAUCAGAAAGCCACGGCUAACUACGUG
rnacentral:rRNA from 1 species